AUUGCGAAUGGGAUUGUGUUCUUGAUUUGGAUCUCAGCUUGGACGUUAUUCGUGUAUAGAAACGUUACUGAUUUUUGUACAUUGAUUUUGUAUCCUGAAACUUUCUUGAAGUUGUUUAUCAUAUCUAGGAGCAUUUGGGCAGAGACUAUGGAGUUUUCUAAGUACCGAAUUAUAUCAUCAGCAAAGAGACAGUUUGACUUCCUCUCUUCCUAUUUGGAUGUCUUUUAUCUCUUUCUCUUUCCUGACUGCUCUUAGCAAAAACCAGGUGGCUUAAAAAACAGAAAUGUAUUGUCUCACAGUUCUGGAGGUUAGAAGUCCUAGAUUAAGCCAUCAUCCUGCAUGGUUGGUUUCUUCUGAGGGCUGUGAUGAAGACUG
rnacentral:lncRNA from 1 species